rnacentral:rRNA from 1 species
UACGGAGGGGGCUAGCGUUAUUCGGAAUUACUGGGCGUAAAGCGCACGUAGGCGGCUUUGUAAGUAAGAGGUGAAAGCCCGGAGCUCAACUCCGGAACUGCCUUUUAGACUGCAUCGCUUGAAUCCAGGAGAGGUGAGUGGAAUUCCGAGUGUAGAGGUGAAAUUCGUAGAUAUUCGGAAGAACACCAGUGGCGAAGGCGACUCACUGGACACGUAUUGACGCUGAGGUGCGAAAGCGUGGGGAUCAAACAGG